AUUGAACGCUGGCGGCAUGCCUUACACAUGCAAGUCGAACGGCAGCAUGGGUGCUUGCACCUGAUGGCGAGUGGCGAACGGGUGAGUAAUGCAUCGGAACGUACCCGGAAGUGGGGGAUAACGUAGCGAAAGUUACGCUAAUACCGCAUAUUCUGUGAGCAGGAAAGCGGGGGACUCGCAAGAGCCUCGCGCGAUUGGAGCGGCCGAUGGCAGAUUAGGUAGUUGGUGGGGUAAAGGCCCACCAAGCCUGCGAUCUGUAGCUGGUCUGAGAGGACGACCAGCCACACUGGGACUGAGACACGGCCCAGACUCCUACGGGAGGCAGCAGUGGGGAAUUUUUGGACAAUGGGCGAAAGCCUGAUCCAGCCAUACCGCGUGCGGGAAGAAGGCCUCGGUUGGUAAGACGUACUUCGGUCCGGGUACGGAAACGUACGACGACAGGCGUAAGUACCUUACGUCGUGGUAGUGACGGUACGGAACGUAAAGAAGACGACGGACCGUAACUACCGUACGACCG
rnacentral:rRNA from 1 species